GUCAUUAAGUCAACACUGAUUCUGCUUACUCUAGCUAUUGAGAGAACUGGAUUCAACGCGUAUAGUGGUUCCUUAUCUUACAGGUUUUGAACAUCUUUCAUACGUCAGGAUUGUGCUUUACAAAUUAAUUCAUAUUAGGAUGAGCUUAUAUUAUGAGAAGUUUUCGCAGGUCAUUUCAACUGUUUUGUUCGCAUUAGUGACGAAUUGUGCAGGUGAAAUAGGAAGCUGUGCGAAGCAUGGAGAACGCUACUACAAAAAUGUCCAGACGGCAUGUCUUCAUGUUCAAUGCAUUCAUGGAAGAGAAACUUUUCUUCAAG
rnacentral:sRNA from 1 species